UACGGAGGGUGCUAGCGUUGCUCGGAAUUAUUGGGCGUAAAGCGCACGUAGGCGGCUUGCAAGUCGGAUGUGAAAUCCCUCGGCUUAACCAAGGAAGUGCAUCCGAAACUGCAGAGCUUGAGUACUUAAGAGGAUCGCGGAAUUCCCGGUGUAGAGGUGAAAUUCGUAGAUAUCGGGAGGAACACCAGUGGCGAAGGCGGCGAUCUGGGAAGAUACUGACGCUGAGGUGCGAAAGCGUGGGGAGCAAACAGG
rnacentral:rRNA from 1 species